CCUUCGAUAGCUCAGUUGGUAGAGCGGUGGACUGUAGAUGGCAAUUCGUAGCACCAGAGAUCCAUAGGUCGCUGGUUCAAAUCCGGCUCGAAGGA
rnacentral:tRNA from 1 species